rfam:Asian citrus Psyllid, Diaphorina citri - Florida Strain, whole genome shotgun sequence.
ACCAGCGGUGAUUGCACGUUGAAUGUACUAGAUCCCAAUGGAUCACUGAAGUUAAGCAACGUUACACGUCGUUGGUAUCCGGAUGGGUGACCAUCUGGACAAUCACGUGUUGCAGGCU